CCCGCCCGUUUCGGGAGCCCUGGUACAGGCAGGCCAGGGAUUCCCUCUUUAACCGCCGGGACUCGCCCCGCUCAAGGCGACGGGUCCCGAACCGUUCAGGGAGCUUUGGUACAGGCAGGCCGGAGAUUCCCUCUUUUAUUCCUCGCGGAGACUGAUCGACAGUCUCCAGCGCCCAUCGACCUUCGCCCCGGCCC
rnacentral:ncRNA from 1 species